rnacentral:rRNA from 3 species
AAUGGCUCAUUAAAUCAGUUAUCGUUUAUUUGAUAGUACCUUACUACUUGGAUAACCGUGGUAAUUCUAGAGCUAAUACAUGCUAAAAACCCCGACUUCGGAAGGGGUGUAUUUAUUAGAUAAAAAACCAAUGCCCUUCGGGGCUCCUUGGUGAUUCAUAAUAACUUAACGAAUCGCAUGGCCUUGUGCCGGCGAUGGUUCAUUCAAAUUUCUGCCCUAUCAACUUUCGAUUGUAGUGUAGUGGACUACAAUGGUUUCAACGGGUAACGGGGAAUUAGGGUUCUAUUCCGGAGAGGGAGCCUGAGAAACGGCUACCACAUCCAAGGAAGGCAGCAGGCGCGCAAAUUACCCAAUCCCGACACGGGGAGGUAGUGACAAUAAAUACUGAUACAGGGCUCUUUUGGGUCUUGUAAUUGGAAUGAGUACAAUUUAAAUCCCUUAACG